rnacentral:lncRNA from 1 species
ACAUGUGCUCCACAACUUCGGACCGCAUGAAGUCGCCAAGAUGAGGACAUACAAGUAAGUCCUAUUUCUCUCACUGACGUCUUCUCUCAUAAAGAGAUAUAACAGGGCUGUCUGAAGUUUGUUUAAGGCGGAAAGCAUGCGAGCACAGGACAGCACGUGUGUUGACCCGUUGGGAGUAAAUCUUUACGUGUGCCCGUCUGACCACUUCUAUUGGGUGCCAGAUCAGUUGAGCAAAGGUUCUCAAGAUGAAGAUCAGACAUUUUAUAGGAACUAUGAAGGAGAGAUGCGCAAAAAAGUUGUGGAAGAGUCACGUCUCCAAUGUGAACGCAGUUGUUUUAAUAGGAAACGGAUAUUAGGCCUAAUGAUGACUUUAGCGGGCUGAAGAGAAACGUGACCAUUAACCACAGAGCAGAUGAAAACUGAUACCAAUGUUCUCAAAAGAUGAGGUGAAACAUGCAAACUUCACACAGAUAUGCCAACUGACCCAGGCGGGGCUCAAACCAGCGACCUUCUUGCUUUGAGGCUCAUUUUGGAGUUUCUUGCAACCUUGAUGUUUCGGAGGUGCUGCGUUGUUCUUUGAUGUGAGGAAGGAAGGUUGAGAAAGAGAAAGCUGUCCAGCACAAGCCACCCUCAUUAGUGUCCAGCGCCCGAAGACACAGGUCACAAAACCCAAUGAACUGGCCAUUUGAUUCAGCUCUGCAGACACUCAGCCCUAAUGCUGCGGUCCGCUCUGACAGCACAUCAUACGCAACACUCAAAGCAGCUUGAAUAACCCUUGGAC